ensembl:ncRNA T23F11.10 ncRNA
GUGAUUUUCCGUGGUCACAGAAGAAACGGAAUGUCUGUGCCUCUCACCUUCACACACUCUCACUACCUAUUGAUUUUCGCCUGGCAGCCUAGUGUCCGUUUGUCGGUCUUUUCUCUCGUCACUUUUUGUGUCUCGGUAUCAAUGUUUGU